rnacentral:lncRNA from 1 species
AUGUCCCAGAAUCCUCCACGGAAGGCUCGAGGACCUGCCUCACGUGCUGUCGCAGGCAAGCGCCGAGUGCUGGGGGGGAGGGGAAGCGGUGGAAGGGGGAGGGGGCGGGGACCGCGUUUUAACCGCUACGACUUUCUUUCUCGAAGACACAUCACACUAUUCAGCGUGCGAGCAUUUUAUCGUCCUUUGUGUGGGUGCGGCUGUGCCGGAGAAAGAGCGAGAUUCGUUCCGGCGGCAGUGAAACACCAGGGACGGGCUGCUUGGCUGCCUGGUUUCUGUGAAACACGUCUUUGUCGGGGAAAGUGUGCUGGUGCUCUCAAGGCCAGAGGAGGCUGGGGGGGGAGUUGUUGUAGAGGUGAGAGGGGCUAGAGCGAUCGUCGGGCGGCCGAUGAGGUCCAUGCGCAGUGCCGCCGGCGUCGCCCCGGGGCCCAGCAGGAGAUGAUCGAGAUGUCGGUGGACAAGGAGCCGGCCGGGCCGGGCGCCAGAGGGCCCCAGGACCAGCCCCAGCCCC